UCUAUAUCAUCUUGAUGCAUUUGAGAAGUCAGUAAUGAUGUUUCUCAGUAAAGGAUGUUUUUGAUGACAACUGAUCACAAGGGUUUUUUUUAAUAUUGUAUUGUGAUGGACUUGGUGGAUGAAAUAAUUUGGAGGACUUCUGAGAGAAGAGUUCUUCCUGAGACAAAUGUAGCAAAGAGUUCCCUUAUGUACUUUGUCUCAGGGAUGCUACCAUUCUACUUGUCAGCAUUACUGCAGAGUGCUCACUUAGCUCUUUCAUUUUUCUUUUACAGGGAUUCAUUUUCUGCCAGAGCCAAAGGUAUUGAGGAAUAAAUCUCAGAUGGGACCCUCACAAGAGAAAUCUCAAGCAUCUGAGGCAGUAUAUAAGGAACCUGAAGAGACAUCUGAGAACGUUAAGAAAAUCAAUAGCUCAAGCAAGGUCCAACAACCUUUUUUCUCCUCACAGUAUCCAGAUGACGACCCAGACUACUGCAUAUGGAUUCCUCCUGCAGGUCAAAGUGGUGAUGGCAAGACUCAUCUCAAUGAAAAAUACGGCUACUGAACUUCAGACACCCCAGAGUACGUUUGAAGGACUGCUCUAUUUUGAAAGGAGUCUUUCACCACACAUUAAGUGAGGGCCUUAACUUAAAGAGUUGAUUUUUCAAACACUGUUCCAAAUUCAAGGGCAUCAGCAGCCACUCUGGAUGUUAGCUCUCCCUUUGUGUUCUCUGUCUGUCUUCCAGAUACUUUUUUUAAAAGGAAAAGCCCACACAUUCUUCUGCUGCUUCUUCUACUUUUAGCCUUGUCUGUUUUAUCUGGCUUGAAACUGUAAGUUCAAUUUUCCUUUUGUAAAUAAAAAUAUACAAAAAGUGUUUAAAAAAAAAAAA
rnacentral:lncRNA from 1 species